AGAGUUUGAUCCUGGCUCAGAAUGAACGUUGGCGGCGUGGAUUAGGCAUGCAAGUCGAACGGGCCUGGUAGCAAUAUCAGGUCAGUGGCGUAAGGGUGAGUAAGGCGACGGCAACCAACCCCAUGGUUGGGCAUAGCCGCGGGAAACUGCGGGUAAUUCCCAGCGAUGUUCGUGCCGGGCAUCCGGCGUGAACCAAAGUUUCGGCGCCGUGGGACGGGCCGUCGUGGUAUUAGGUAGUUGGCGGGGUAAUGGCCCACCAAGCCUCUGAUGCCUACCGGGCGUGCGAGCGUGGCCCGGCACACUGGGACUGAGACACUGCCCAGACUCCUACGGGAGGCUGCAGUCGAGAAUCUUCGGCAAUGGGCGCAAGCCUGACCGAGCGACGCCGCGUGGAGGAUGAAGGCCUUCGGGUUGUAAACUCCUGUCGAGGGG
rnacentral:rRNA from 1 species